AACGAACGCUGGCGGCAGGCUUAACACAUGCAAGUCGAACGCAUCCUUCGGGGUGAGUGGCAGACGGGUGAGUAACGCGUGGGAACGUGCCCUGCAGUUCGGGAUAACCCAGGGAAACUUGGGCCAAUACCGGAUACGUGCGAGAGCAGAAAGAUUUAUCGCUGACGGAUCGGCCCGCGUCUGUUUAGCUAGUUGGUGGGGUAAUGGCCCACCAAGGCGACGAGCAGUAGCUGGUCUGCGGGGACGAUCAGCCACAUGGGGACUGAGACACGGCCCAAACUCCUACGGGAGGCAGCAGUGGGGAACAUUGGACAAUGGGCGCAUGCCUGAUCCAGCCAUGCCGCGUGAGUGAUGAAGGCCUUAGGGUUGUAAAGCUCUUUCGUCCGGGACGAUAAUGCCGGUACCGGAAGAAGAAGCCCCGGCUAACUUCGUGCCAGCAGCCGCGGUAA
rnacentral:rRNA from 1 species